GACUCGGCUGCGGUGGACAAGUCCGGCUCCAGAACCUGGAUACCGCUCAGCCGGCCGCGGCAGGGGUC
ensembl:miRNA